GGUAGCGUGGCCGAGUGGUCUAAGGCGCUGGAUUUAAGUUACUGCUUGAUUCCCAGUGGGGCAACCCGCGCGAGUUCGAACCUCGCCGCUACCA